rnacentral:rRNA from 1 species
UACGAAGGGGGCUAGCGUUGCUCGGAAUCACUGGGCGUAAAGCGCACGUAGGCGGCUUUCUAAGUCAGGGGUGAAAUCCUGGAGCUCAACUCCAGAACUGCCUUUGAUACUGGAAAGCUUGAGUUCGGGAGAGGUGAGUGGAACCGCGAGUGUAGAGGUGAAAUUCGUAGAUAUUCGCAAGAACACCAGUGGCGAAGGCGGCUCACUGGCCCGAUACUGACGCUGAGGUGCGAAAGCGUGGGGAGCAAACAGG